rnacentral:rRNA from 1 species
AUUGAACGCUGGCGGCAUGCCUUACACAUGCAAGUCGAACGGUAACAGGUCUUCGGAUGCUGACGAGUGGCGAACGGGUGAGUAAUACAUCGGAACGUGCCUAGUAGUGGGGGAUAACUACUCGAAAGAGUGGCUAAUACCGCAUGAGAUCUACGGAUGAAAGCAGGGGAUCGCAAGACCUUGUGCUACUAGAGCGGCCGAUGGCAGAUUAGGUAGUUGGUGGGAUAAAAGCUUACCAAGCCGACGAUCUGUAGCUGGUCUGAGAGGCCGAUCAGCCACACUGGGACUGAGACACGGCCCAGACUCCUACGGGAGGCAGCAGUGGGGAAUUUUGGACAAUGGGCGCAAGCCUGAUCCAGCAAUGCCGCGUGCAGGAUGAAGGCCUUCGGGUUGUGAACUGCUUUUGUACGGAACGAAAAGCCCUGGGUUAAUACCCUGGGGUCAUGACGGUACCGUAAGAAUAAGCACCGGCUAACUACGUGCCAGCCGCCGCCGUAAUAC